rnacentral:rRNA from 1 species
GACGUAGGGCGCAAGCGUUUGUCCGGAAUUAUUGGGCGUAAAGAGCUCGUAGGCGGCUUGUCACGUCGAUUGUGAAAGCCCGAGGCUUAACCUCGGGUCUGCAGUCGAUACGGGCUAGCUAGAGUGUGGUAGGGGGAGAUCGGAAUUCCUGGUGUAGCGGUGAAAUGCGCAGAUAUCAGGAGGAACACCGGUGGCGAAGGCGGAUCUCUGGGCCAUUACUGACGCUGAGGAGCGAAAGCGUGGGGAGCGAACAGG